rnacentral:lncRNA from 1 species
AUUGUUAUUAUUAUUAUUUUUUUUCUUCUGCCAACUUUUUUUUCCUUCGCAGUUUUUUUGUUUCGCAAGAUGUCGCUUAGACAUAUGGUACAUGAUAUCAAACAGUUAUUACGCUUUUGUAACUGACACCGCGUAACCAAAAUCUUUUCAAUGUAAGAGUUAUCUCCCCGAACACUGAUUUUCUUGUGAUCGCUUAAUAUUCGCAACCAUAUAAGAAACCGACAAAUUUAUUUUACCAAAUUG